UAGAACAACUCUCAGCAACGGAUAUCUUGGCUCUUGCAACGAUGAAGAACGCAGCGAAAUGCGAUACGUAGUGUGAAUUGCAGAAUUCCGCGAAUCAUCGAGUUUUUGAACGCAAGUUGCGCCCGAGGCUUGUCCGAGGGCNUUUCCGCUAGAGCGUCACC
rnacentral:rRNA from 1 species